ACACCUCUGUUGUGUCAUUCGACA
rnacentral:siRNA from 1 species